rnacentral:rRNA from 1 species
CCUACGGGAGGCAGCAGUGAGGAAUAUUGGUCAAUGGACGAGAGUCUGAACCAGCCAAGUAGCGUGAAGGAUGACUGCCCUAUGGGUUGUAAACUUCUUUUAUAAAGGAAUAAAACGAGGCACGUGUGCCUUUUUGCAUGUACUUUAUGAAUAAGGAUCGGCUAACUCCGUGCCAGCAGCCGCGGUAAUACGGAGGAUUCGAGCGUUAUCCGGAUUUAUUGGGUUUAAAGGGCGCGUAGAUGGGGUGUUAAGUCAGUUGGGAAAUUUUGCGGCUCAACCGUAAAAUUGCAAUUGAUACUGGCAGUCUUGAGUACAGUUGAGGUAGGCGGAAUGCGUGGUGGAGCGGUGAAAUGCUUAGAGAUCACGAAGAACCCCGAUUGCGAAGGCAGCUUACUAAACUGUGACUGACAUUGAUGCUCGAAAGUGUGGGGAUCAAACAGGAUUAGAUACCCUAGUAGUC